rnacentral:rRNA from 1 species
CUACGAAAACUGUGCAAUGUGGGAAACCACGACACGGGCAUACCGAGUGCCAAGGCUUUGCUUUGGCUGUUCUUUUCGCCUAAAAAGCGAGAGAAGUAAGGGCCGGGUAAGACGGGUGCCAGCCGCCGCGGUAAUACCCGCGGCCCGAGUGGUGCUCAUUAUUAUUGAGCUUAAAGCGUUCGUAGCCGGCCUCGUAAAUCUUUGGGUAAAUCGGGCAGCUUAACUGUUCGAAUUCCGAGGAGACUGCGAGGCUCGGGACCGGGAGAGGUUCGAGGUACUCCGGGGGUAGGGGUAAAAUCCUGUAAUCCUCGGAGGACCACCAGUGGCGAAGGCGUCGAACUAGAACGGAUCCGACGGUGAGGGACGAAGCCCUGGGGCGCAAACGGGAUUAGAUACCCCCGGUAGUCCAGGGUGUAAACGCUGCGGGUUUGGUGUCGGAGGUCCUACGAGGGCGUCCGGUGCCGGAGAGAAAUUGUUAAACCUGCCGCUUGGGGAGUACGGUCGCAAGACUGAAACUUAAGGAAUUGGCGGGGGAGCACCGCAACGGGAGGAGCGUGCGGUUCAAUUGGAUUCAACGCCGGAA